GUCCCUGUAGGGCAAUGAAUAGCGCGUUGGAAAUCAAAUCCAAAGGUCGUCGGUUCGAAUCCUACCUGGGAUG